rnacentral:lncRNA from 1 species
UUUUGGCCUGGAUGAUUCUGAGAUCUGUAGGAAGGGGUGGGCGCAUCAAAGGCUGAGAGUGACCGACCAUCCAUAGGCACAGUGUGGAGGAUCGUCAGCUUGCUCAGCGUGCUUAGCUACAAAUGAACAGCACAUCCCAGAAGGCUUAUAACUCUACAGGAGCAAAAAAGAGCACAGGGUGUGAUCUUGAUGUGUUUGGAGUUUCUUCCUUUGGUGAGUUCGUGGUCUCGCUGGCUCAGGAGUGAAGCUAAAGACCUUCGCCAUGAGUGUUACAGCUCUUAAGGCAGCGCGUCUGGAGUUGUUCCUUCCUCCCGGCGGGCUCAUGGUCUCCCUGUGCUUGAGGAGUGAAGAUGCAGACCUUCGCGGCUGUUUGUGCUGCCUGACAAUUAUGUCUGUGCAGCCAGAAAGCGGAAGGUGAAAUGAGUAGAAGAAAGAAUAAAUGCCCUUCAAUGCCUUUCUCCAUUUCCAUGGAGUGUUGCUGCACCCCACUGAAGACAUGGUCUGAGCUGAGGCUUCGGAGUUACCCUCAAAGCUGGGCCUUGGCUUUUCUGACCUUCCCUGCAAGCCGAGUUGUCCCAAGAACCCAGCUGGCCAGGCCACAAGUCAGCUACAUCCUGCCCUCCCCUUACUAUGAAAACCUGGGGCAGAUGAUCACCUGGCAGUGCAGGCUGGCUGUGAAGCAGUCACUCUCCCCAUAGCAGAUCAGUGAGAGCCAUCUCUUACCAUGUCCUUGAAGAGGAAAAUCAGCUUUGCCCCAGUUUUGAUCAUAUGAAGCAAUAGUGUAUUAAAUAAUAAAGCCAAAAUUGUGACAGGCUGCCUGGCAUACUGACACCCUACAGUAUGCCAGGCACCGUAUGAAACACUUUGCAACUGUCUUGGGUAUUAAACAAGUGGAGGAUAUCAUUACUGGAUAAAGCAUCCAUCAGUCCAUGGUCUACCUUGCUUUUCCAAGUGUGGCCCACAGAUCAACAGCAUCAACCAACAUUAUCUAGGAGCUUGUUAGAAAAGCAGAAUCUUGGGCCCCUCCCCAAUACUAACCUGCAUUUUAACAUGAUUAAGAGGUGGUUUGUAUGCACAUUAAAGUUUGAGAAACACUGGUGUAG